UACGGGGGGGGGCAAGCGUUGUUCGGAAUUACUGGGCGUAAAGGGCUCGGGGGUGGCCAACUAAGUCAGACGUGAAAUCCCUCGGCUUAACCGGGGAACUGCGUCUGAUACUGGAUGGCUAGAGAUUGGGAGAGGGAUGCGGAAUUCCAGGUGUAGCGGUGAAAUGCGUAGAUAUCUGGAGGAACACCGGUGGCGAAGGCGGCAUCCUGGACCAACACUGACGCUGAGGAGCGAAAGCCAGGGGAGCAAACGGG
rnacentral:rRNA from 1 species